rnacentral:misc_RNA from 1 species
GCUGCAUUAGCUAUAGCCAUGGCUGUGGUGUCUGAAAAGCCUAGCUUAAUCGUUGCACUUCCAACGCCACUCUUGGUAACUUCAAGAGCUGCCAUGUAAAAGGCUCGAGCUGGGAUAGUUCCCAUUAAAGAGGUUCCAAAUCCUCUGUAAAACCCUCUCAAGCCUUCAUGACGCAUGAUAGAGUAUGACAUUUUAAAGCAUGAUACCUUGGUAGCUGAAACCUGAAGUCGAGUUUUCAAAAGAACAACAGGAUAAAGAGCAGUUGAUACACCUGAAAAUAAAGCAGCACCCAGAAAAAAGAAUUUGGAUUUGUCUAACAUAUCCCAAUCAAUCUCUGCUGGAAUAUGAAUUUCAGAGGUUGAUUCAUCCUCUGCUGCAUCCAGGCUCAUCUUAGCCAGUUCUAAAACUAAUCACAAACAACCCCAGAAAUCAGAUACCCCUCUUCCUUCAACAAUCUAUGUAACCACAGUUCCUAUUAUCUCGUCUGACAGAACUAACUCAUUAAAAUAAACAAGACUUCAAAAAUGAAAUCCAAAAAAGACCCAAAUGAAAAAGGGUCAUAGAAACGAAAAGGGGAGAUCAGAAGCUGAAGUACAAGAGACAAUAACAACAAUAAUUGGAGUAAUUAUGUUUUCCUCUGGUAACAGAUUAUGAGAUUGGACUUAU